AAAAAAAAAAAAAAAAAAAAAAGAAAAAGUUGAAAAAAAAAUUAAGAAAGUAAGACCAAGAGAAAAAUAAAUCUUGUCAUUGUUAUCCAUAAUUGAAACGUUUUGAAUUUAUGUACUUCACUUCCCAAACAACCCGAGUGCUGCCUCGAUAACAACCGUGAUUACAUCAAGGAACGACAAAAGCAUAAACACACCUAAAAUCCGAUUUGUGUUAUUUGUGUUAGCUCGGGCAAACGCCGGAGCUGGCGAGAUCGCUUCAUAAGAAAUUUAUAUAUAUAUGUACAUGCACAUAUGUAUUUCUUGCAUAUAUGAGAACUCGCUACGAAUAGCUGCAAUCGUAAAUUAUAUAAAGACGUGUAUUUCUUAUAU